rnacentral:lncRNA from 1 species
AGGAAAUAUCCAAGAGUGAAUUCAUAAGGGCUUUACUUAUAAGACAGGGCAAUAAGUUCAGUCCCUAGUCAGUAAACAACACUGAAAAGAGCAGGGGCAGGAGAUGUAUUCAAGGACAGAACCAGGCCAAAUGAAAAACAGAAGAAUCAUAGAAUCAGAGAUUAUAAAGGACAAAGAUGUUCUGAAGAACCUUUGGAUGGAGUUAAAGGCGAUAACAAUAAUAAUCUUUAAAGAAUCAAGAAUAGGUAUCGGUCCCAAGGCAGAAGAUCAGUAAAAACUAGGCAACUGGAGAUCUCCAGCAUGAAAAUCAGAUCUUACAAUGUAACCAAAGGACCCCUGUGUCUUGCCAUCUUCCUUCUACUACAUCCUUAGGACUUCCAGGCUUCUCUGUUUACUUCAACUAAACUUUAUUUUAUCUGUUUGUUUGUUUGUUUUUUUAACUCUAAUUAAAAUGAGAGCUCCUUGACAGUAAAAACUGCUUACCUUUGGUGUAUAGUAGUUACUUAAAUGCUUUUUUCAUUAAGUCAUUCAGUGAUUUUGCAUUUGUUAUUC